rnacentral:rRNA from 1 species
UGGGGAAUAUUGGGCAAUGGCCGAAAGGCUGACCCAGCGACGCCGCGUGCGGGAGGAAGCCCUUCGGGGUGUAAACCGCUGUCAGAGGGGACGAAUGAGAGAGGAUUGAACAGAUCUUCUCUGUGACGGUACCCUCAAAGGAAGCACCGGCUAACUCUGUGCCAGCAGCCGCGGUAAUACAGAGGGUGCAAGCGUUGUUCGGAAUCACUGGGCGUAAAGCGCGCGCAGGCGGAUGGUUGCGUCCGGAGUGAAAUUUCGCCGCUCAACGGCGAAGCUGCUUUGGAUACGGACCGUCUAGGGACCGGUAGAGGCUGGUAGAAUUGCAGGUGUAGCGGUGGAAUGCGUAGAGAUCUGCAAGAAUACCCGUGGCGAAGGCGGCCAGCUGGGCCGGAUCCGACGCUGAGGCGCGAAAGCGUGGGGAGCAAACAGG